rnacentral:misc_RNA from 1 species
CAGGCGUAAAAAUCUUCCAUAGUGAAAACCAAUAAAUAAAAGAAGAAUGAAAUCAAAGAAAUUAGAAAUCGAAAUUCCGGAAGGUAAAACAGCUGUCUGGAGAAAUGGAAUCUUAACCCUUAUUGAUGAACCAGAAAAAGACGUAAGAAAACGUAUUAAGACGUUUGAGGACGCCUGCCAUGAAAUUG